rnacentral:rRNA from 1 species
UACUCCUACGGGGCGCAGCAGUGAGGAAUAUUGGUCAAUGGGCGAGAGCCUGAACCAGCCAAGUCGCGUGAGGGACGACGGCCCUACGGGUUGUAAACCUCUUUUGCCGGGGGACAAACGGCGGCACGCGUGCCGUCCUGAGGGUACCCGGAGAAAAAGCAUCGGCUAACUCCGUGCCAGCAGCCGCGGUAAUACGGAGGAUGCGAGCGUUAUCCGGAUUUAUUGGGUUUAAAGGGUGCGUAGGCGGACUGUUAAGUCAGCGGUAAAAGCCCGGGGCUCAACCCCGGCGAGCCGUUGAAACUGGC